GAGAGAGAGAGAGAGAGAGAGAGAGAGAGAGAGAGAGAGAGAGAGAACGUGUGCCGAUAGAACGAAAGUAUGGCGAACGACGACGUUUGCACGCGCACCGGCGUGACGCCUUUUGCAAACGGUGAUGUUAGAUUUCGUAGCUGCCGUAAACACCGUAGGACUGUAACGCACGCCUAAAAGUGAAUAGCUGCGAACGGUGUGCUGAGAAACAGAGCCGUGAGACAGAGGGAGAGGGAGAGAGAAGGCGAUUCGACGAGCGUGCAGCGGGGCGUAACGCGUUCUCCUCAGAUGACGACGACGACGACGACGACGACGACGACGACGACGGCGACGACGACGUCGGCGGCGGCGUAUUAGUCUACAAACGAAUUACCUUUUUGCAUCGUAAAAGUAUAGCGAUAUACCUUACGUGUAAUAAUCGAAUUUGUACGUGAUAGCGCGUGACGCGAACGGGCGGACGAAUCCCUGUACAGAAUCCUCUUGUACAUAUUCGACGAUUGUGAUUAACGAUUAGAUUGCGUCGCGUCGCGGCGCGGCCGCAGCGACACGGCCGCGCCGGCGGACUCGGACUUUAAAAUAAUAAUCAAGAGUAACGAUAUUUCAACUUGGCCGAUAACAGCCGACCGGUGAGUGCGUGAUAAAUAUAGAAAAAACGAAAUCAAGACUUUCAAAUACCGAAGAACAAAGACGCGCAAAGGCGAACUCGUCGAAUUCCGACGAUUAACGCCCAGGAUGAGGUCGGGUAUGCUUUCGCGAAGGAUCCAGAGGGAGAAUUGCGACCGACACUUGUCCGUCCCCGUGUGUUUCCCGUUGAAUUUUCUCUUUCAUAUUUAUCACGCGUUAUCUCAUCCAGCUUUCGGUUGUUCUCACGGUCAGGCCGUGAAAUGUCGUUACUUUGAAGAAUAAUAAUACCUAUGUAAAGUACAACCCCGUGCACAAUCGAAACAGAACUAUUUCUCUACUUUAAUUAGGCGACCACAUACACACACACACACACACACACACACACACACACAAUACACUCGCGACACACCAGCGCGGAGAUCAAUAGGGGCCGGAUAUAUGGCUUCUCGUGGAUAUAUCUUUACGUUGCGAUCGCGACAUCAUUUUCUGUUUCCCUUUCGCAGCCGACACCGAGACACCGAUAUUAAAGGACAUUUAAUCGAACAAGUGAGUAACCCCCCCUUUGUGUCCGCCGCGAUGCGCGUAAGAUAUACAGCGUGAAGCGCAACGAGCCCGCAAAGUUGCCGCUUUUGAGUGAUCUUCGCCGGGAAGUUAGUCUCCGCGCCCUCGCCCCGCGGGGAGAGACGCUGCGCGAGUUAAUAAUCAUUCAGGUGUAUAAACUAUCCGCCGUUACGAGUCUUAAACGCAGUUCAGAUCUGUAAAUAUCAUCCGAGAUUCCGCUGGAGGAAUACAAUCGGCAAUAAUAUUUACAGACAUUUUAUUUUCAACGGAAAAAGAAAACAGACGCGUUCAUUACGUUCGGUCAUAUGCUGAUCUGAUCAUCGAUUGAUGAAUUGUUGAUUCUCGUCUCCCGGGCGGAUACGCCGAAUGGAAAAGGAAAAAAAUGAAAAAGAUUCGAUUGACGCAUUGUACGCAGGGACGUAGAUACGUCAUGCCGAUUAAUGACGUAUCCGCAAAUCUCUCGACGAAAUAAAUAAGGAGUCUAUUCCACAUUUUUCCCCGACGCUGCAUUUUUAGCAAUAAUAAUAUGUGACAAUUGA